UUUUAAAUUUCACUGUAUUUUGUUUUUGUUUCUAGGAAUUUCCUUGAGGCAGAUCUCAUGGUGGUAAACUUUCUGAUUUUAUCUGACCAGCACUGAGGCUUAGCCAGUGAUGCAUCCCGUCUCACAAUGCUGGUUUGAAUCCCAGCUGCUCGGCUUCUGGCUUUGUUCUCAGCUAAUGUCCAAGAGCAGGCAGCAGCAGAAUGGUUCGUGUACCUGAGGACAUGUGUGUGAGACCCGGAUGGAGUGCAAGGGUCUUGACUUCAACCUGUCCCAGUCUUUGCUAUUGCAGCAAAUAAUAAGGAGAGUGAACCAGAGGAGUUUCUGUCACAAGUAAACCCGUUUCAAGCACCUCCUAGUCUUUGACAAGAUUCCUGGCUUAUCUAACUUCUUGAAAGUUCCCAUUUUCCAUUAGGACUACUCUUCUUCUAGAAUUUUCUAUGGACCUUACCAUUUCAUCAAGAGUCCUUUCAAAGAUGCAUAAUGUCUUCUACGUUGCUAAGGUAUGUCUGUUUUUGACCAAUGCACAAGCUCAGGUAAGUCACCCUUAUACUUUGAUUGAUAUAAAUUGAGCUACUGAAAAGUAUUUUGAAAUGCAUAAAAUAGAUUAAACCCUUUAUUAGAGUACUAUUCCCUGGGUAAUAUCU